rnacentral:rRNA from 1 species
UACAGAGGUCUCGAGCGUUAGGCGGAAUCACUGGGCUUAAAGCGCGCGUAGGCGGCCCCGUAAGUCCGCUGUGAAAGUCAAAGGCUCAACCUUUGAAAGCCGGUGGAUACUGUGGGGCUAGAGUCCGGAAGAGGCGAGUGGAAUUCCUGGUGUAGCGGUGGAAUGCGCAGAUAUCAGGAGGAACACCAAUAGCGAAGGCAGCUCGCUGGGACGGUACUGACGCUAAGGCGCGAAAGCGUGGGGAGCGAACAGG